rnacentral:rRNA from 1 species
GGCGUGGCUUCCGGAGCUAACGCGUUAAGUAGACCGCCUGGGGAGUACGGCCGCAAGGUUAAAACUCAAAUGAAUUGACGGGGGCCCGCACAAGCGGUGGAGCAUGUGGUUUAAUUCGAUGCAACGCGAAGAACCUUACCUGGUCUUGACAUCCACAGAAGAAUCCAGAGAUGGAUUUGUGCCUUCGGGAACUGUGAGACAGGUGCUGCAUGGCUGUCGUCAGCUCGUGUUGUGAAAUGUUGGGUUAAGUCCCGCAACGAGCGCAACCCUUAUCCUUUGUUGCCAGCGAUUAGGUCGGGAACUCAAAGGAGACUGCCAGUGAUAAACUGGAGGAAGGUGGGGAUGACGUCAAGUCAUCAUGGCCCUUACGACCAGGGCUACACACGUGCUACAAUGGCGCAUACAAAGAGAAGCGACCUCGCGAGAGCAAGCGGACCUCAUAAAGUGCGUCGUAGUCCGGAUUGGAGUCUGCAACUCGACUCCAUGAAGUCGGAAUCGCUAGUAAUCGUGGAUCAGAAUGCCACGGUGAAUACGUUCCCGGGCCUUGUACACACCGCCCGUCACACCAUGGGAGUGGGUUGCAAAAGAAGUAGGUAGCUUAA